rnacentral:ncRNA from 2 species
CUUUAACAUUGGGAUUCUGGCCCCCUUAAAGGGGUUAAAAGGGAAGUCCGGUGAAAAUCCGGCGCUGCCCCGCAACUGUGAUCCCGUAAAAUAAAACUUCAGCAAUGCGCUUAAUACAGCGCUAAAGCCACUGUUCCCUAAAUGGGAAUGGGAAGGCAAGCUGAAGUUUCGGGAAAGCCAGGAGACCUGCCAGAAUCCACGGGAAUCC